rnacentral:rRNA from 1 species
UACGUAGGGGGCGAGCGUUGUCCGGAAUUAUUGGGCGUAAAGAGCGUGUAGGCGGCCAGGUAGGUCUGCUGUGAAAACUCGAGGCUUAACCUCGAGAUGUCGGCGGAAACCAUCUGGCUAGAGUCCGGAGGAGGAGAAUGGAAUUCCCGGUGUAGCGGUGAAAUGCGCAGAUAUCGGGAAGAACACCCGUGGCGAAGGCGGUUCUCUGGGACGGUACUGACGCUGAGACGCGAAAGCGUGGGGAGCGAACAGG